rnacentral:lncRNA from 1 species
CCUUACUACAACCACCCCCUCCCCUCUGCAGGCUGCCCUGCCAGAGCCCCUCCUCUGGCAAGAAAAGGGGAGUUGAAAUAGUGAGCUCCUGCUUUGUGAAGGAAAUUUUCUUUCAGUGCCUUGCUCAGAGGAUCAUCAGAGAAGUUAAGUUAUGGACCUUCCUGUUUUGCAGAAUGUGCAGGACACAGUGCAUCUUACUUCCCCAAAAGAGCUAGAUACAGCUACAGGUAUUCAACAGUCACCAACACAUUCCUGCAGGGAAAUAGUUACAAAAGCAGUGGCAUUUCUCUGGAGAGCACAGUGAUCAUUGAAGUCCUGGGGAAUUGCCAGAUGGUUUUGAAAGUGCAAGAUGUACAGAUUAAGAAAAGUUUUGCAUCCAGAGAGGAGUCUCUGAUGGAAAUGGACAGUCUAAG